AUCGAUAUGAAUUUAAUUUUGGUUCUGAUUGAACGUUUUUCAGUAGUUUUAAGACAUGCAAAUCGUUGUUCCUAACAGUUUAUCUGUAUGUUUUAUACCCCCUCCUCCUACGGAUUCAUAAAAGGAAGGGCCCCGUCCCCUAGGACUCGCCUCCUCUCCCCUGCCUUUGCAGGGGGAAAGGGAAGGAGCCUACCUACGGAUAGAUAGGAAGGGAAGGGUUACAAAAUAAAGAUAAAAAAAUAAGAAUAAGGUGUAAAGGUGAGUAUUUUAAAUUAGAUACCUUAUAGACUCCUUAAUUGGGAGAUAAUUUUAUUUCAAAAAUCCUCCCCUACGGAGAAGUAGGAGUAGGAGUCAACCUUCUACUAUUGAAUGGUUACUCCAAAGGCAACUCUGCAGGACUACGUAGAGAAGUGAUUAGAGAAUACUUAUUAGGGGGAAUAUUACAGUCAGUAGGCCACACCUGCUAGUCUGUUCUCAUUACUGGAUUAAUAACUUCGCUUUCCUUCCCUGCCUUAAGGCAGGAUAGGAAGGAAGGAGAGAGUAGCUAUUUUACCCCGAAGGGGGAAUCGCUACAUAUGAAUUCCUUGUAAUUUCUUCCUAAUAAGGAAAGUAAAAUAUAAAUUAGCUAUUUAUAAAAAAAGGGAAAUUUUCUGCUAUAAGAUUCGAUUUAAUUUGUUUAAAGGUAGUUGGUAGGGUAAAUGCCUACCAAGCCUAUGAUCAAUAGCCAUGUUUGAAAGAGCAGAUGGCCACAUUGGGAAUGGAAAGCCCCAAGUAGUGAAAACUACCAGCAGUCAAGAAUAUUAGUCAAUGCUCGCAAGAGUGAACUAGCUAACUGAAAUCACAUGAUCCAUGCUUUAUGUUGGUUAUUGUGAUAACGUAAGGGAAAAAAAUGAUAUUACCUUACUAUUAGUGUUGUCCAAAACUGGUGCCAGAAGACUCGGUAAGGCCAGAGACGCGAACGUUAGUCGUCCUAAUCAGGCGUAAAGGGUGUGUAGGCUGCUUUCAAAAUCAUAUCUUUCAAAUAGCUCUUAUAACGAAGAUCAGUUUAGAGAUACUUUAAAUAUCUUCAUUAUAAGGUAAAGAUAGGAUGAAUAAAAGCUAGAAUCAAAACGAGGAUAAGCCAAAUAAUACUUAGAGUAGGGAUGAUAUCUGUAGAUACUAAGUGGAAUACUAAAAGUGAAAACUAUUUAUCUAGAAAUGAUUGACGCUGAGAAACGAAGGUGAGAAAAGGAAAUAGGAUUAGAUACCCAGAUACCUCUCACUGUCAACGAUGAAUGGUGGUUUGUUAGUUUAUAGAAGAACUAGUAACGAUGCUAACGCGAUAACCAUUCCGCCUUGCGAGUACGGUUGCAAAACUGAAACCAAAAAAAUUAGUCGGUCUCGAAGCAAACGAAGUGAAGCAUGUUGUUUAAUAUGAUAAUACGCGUAAAACCUUACCAGUUCUUGCAUAUCCAGUCCUUAAUCUUAAGUGGUUCUAAAUGUCAAUUUAGUCCUAUUUAAGGUUAAAGAUUGAGUAGUUUCUUUACCUCAAGAAACUCGUUUACAGGUGUUGCAUGGCUGUCGUAAGUCCGUGCCGUGAGAAGUGAGGUUAACUCCACUAACGGACGAAAUCCCUGUUGUUAAUUUAUACUUAACAAUUAAUGAAUUUGACAAUUUUUCAUUUGGGGCUAAGACAAGCCGUUAUGGCCCUCAUGAACUGGGCUAUAGACGUGCCACGAGAACUUUUACAAAGUGACGCCAAAACCUAACCUCUAUACUAAUGCAAUAUUUUAGUUAAUAUUUAAAAUAGAAUAAAUAUAAAUUAUAUUAUAAAUGUUUCCUACGGUAAUUAGUCCUAAUUACUCUACGUAGUGAUUUUAUUAUUUUUUUGUUUUGUUUUUUAUUACUAUUUUAAAUAAUAAGGUUUUAAGGAAUAGCUAAUCAUUAAAGAAAGUUAAAUAACCAAAUAUAUGGACGGAUUGCCGCCUGAAAUUCGGCGUCAUGAAGAAGGAAUUUCGAGUAAUCGUUGAUCACUAGCGCAACGGUGAAGAAUGCAUUCGGGAUGAACUAACUGUCUGUCGCUGGGAAGAAGCUUGAAUUGGGGGAAACUGCCGCGAAGUUAUUAUUUUUUUAAGGCAAACCUAAUUUAAAAAUAUCAGCAAUUAUUUAUUAUUAACCCUCUACUAGACUACUAGACUACUAGACUACUAGACUACGUAGUCCUACCCUUCCCUACGUAGUACGCAGUUUGCCCUCUCCUCCCCCCUGCCUUUGCUGGGGCAAAGGGAAGGAAGGGAAGGCGCAAAGGCAGGGGAGGCAGGACUCCUCCUCCUUCGGCAAAAGAAAAGAAAAGUGAACUGGAGCUGAACUGGAGGGGUGGGCGUAAAUUAAUUUUUGUUUUUAAAUUAAGGGUAGUUUUUCCUUCGGCUGCUAAGCUUUAAUUUUAGAAGUAAUUCUAAUUUAAAGUAUUAGCCCUCCUCCCGUAAGGGUCCUAGGGUCCUACGGGGGGCCCCUCUAAUUACGUAGUGCUUCCCCGCCUUGCCCCCCUAGUUUCCGAAGGAAACUCCUUCGGAUUCAUAAGAGGGGAGGGCGGGGGUAGAAGAGUACUAAUUAGUACCGUAGUAGUAGUACUUCUACUACUUGAGCUGGGGGACCUACUGAUUAAUCAGGGCCACCUACUUAUGAUUCCUUCCUUCCUUUCCUGCCUUCCUAUCCUUCGGAGUACUACUCCGUAGGAGAGGAGGAUUAAGAAAGGAUUUAUAAAGGAAUCAUUCCUUAGGUCAGGAGAAGGUCAUUUAAAUAUAAAAAAACACCUUUCUUAAGAUAAUUAGUUUCAGUUAACCCUUUUAAGUAACAUCUCAAAAGUCAUAGCAAGGUAGCUGUACUGGAAAGUGCCGCUGGAAAAUAAAUAAA
rnacentral:rRNA from 1 species